GAUGAACGCUAGCGGCAGGCCUAAUACAUGCAAGUCGAACGGUGUCUUCGGACAUAGUGGCGCACGGGUGCGUAACACGUAUGCAACCUACCUUACAUUGGGGGAUAGCCUUUCGAAAGGGAGAUUAAUACCGCAUAAGACAGUAGCUGGGCAUCCAGCAGCUGUUAAAGAUUUAUCGAUGUAAGCUGGGCAUGCGUCCAAUUAGCUAGUUGGUGAGGUAACGGCUCACCAAGGCAAUGAUUGGUAGGGGAACUGAGAGGUCAAUCCCCCACACUGGGACUGAGAUACGGGCCAGACUCCUACGGGAGGCAGCAGUAGGGAAUAUUGGGCAAUGGACGCAAGUCUGACCCAGCCAUGCCGCGUGCAGGAUGAAGGCGUUAUGCGUUGUAAGCUGCUUUUAUACAGGAAGAAACGACUCUUGCGAGAGGCAUUGACGGUACUGUAUGAAUAAGCACCGGCUAACUCCGUGCCAGCAGCCGCCGUAACAC
rnacentral:rRNA from 1 species